rnacentral:miRNA from 1 species
UGUGUGUGUGUGUGUGUGUGUGUGUGUGUGUGUGUGUGUGUGUGGCAUCCCCCCCACCACAAGUACAAACACAACCCCCCAGCACUAAG